AUUGAACGCUGGCGGCAUGCCUUACACAUGCAAGUCGAACGGUAACAGGUCUUCGGAUGCUGACGAGUGGCGAACGGGUGAGUAAUGCAUCGGCACGUGCCCAGUAGUGGGGGAUAGCCCGGCGAAAGCCGGAUUAAUACCGCAUACGACCUGAGGGUGAAAGGGGGGGAUCGCAAGACCUCUCGCUAUUGGAGCGGCCGAUGUCAGAUUAGAUAGUUGGUGGGGUAAAGGCCUACCAAGGCAACGAUCUGUAGUUGGUCUGAGAGGACGACCAGCCACACUGGGACUGAGGCACGGCCGAGACUCCUACGGGAGGCAGCAGUGGGGAAUUUUGCACAAUGGGCGCAAGCCUGAUCCAGCAAUACCGCGUGCAGGAAGAAGGCCUUCGGGUUGUAAACUGCUUUUGUCAGGGAAGAAGUCUUCUGGGUUAAUACCUCGGGAGGAUGACGGUACCUGAAGAAUAAGCACCGGCUAACUACGUGCCAGCCGCCGCGGUAACAC
rnacentral:rRNA from 1 species